AUGGCCCUGCACCAGCACCACGCGGGGUCGGCGUCCGGGUCGGCGUCGGCGUCCAGCUCCAGCUCGGGGCUGCACCUGCCCGCCUCGCCCUUCGGGGACACCACCCACACCAAGCUCUUCGUCGGGGGCCUCGCCUGGGAGACCACCAGCGAGAGGCUCCGCCGCUUCUACGAGCGCUUCGGGGACAUCCUCGAGGCCGUCGUCAUCACCGACCGCCACUCCGGCCGCUCCAAAGGAUACGGCUUCGUGACGUUCCGCGAUGCCGAGGCGGCCACCAAGGCCUGCGAGGAACCGUCGCCGGUCAUCGAUGGCAGGCGGGCCAACUGUAACCUGGCGUCGCUAGGUCGCGCCCAGCCUUCCACACCCCUCGGGCGGCCACGAUCAGCUGGCUCCUACUUUGGUGUUCCUGUCCCAAGGGGCAUUUAUGUAGGUGGUUAUGGUCAGCACCGACCCCUUCCGCUUGGGUACUACCAGUACCAGGGAUUUCCGGUUCCACAAUACAGUUACUCCGCAUAUGGCACCGACUACAUCUAUCCACAGGUUAAAGGUACAUUAAACCCAUAUGUUGGUCAGCAAUAUGUUCCAGUUUACGGUGUCUCAGCUGCAGCAAAUACUGCUAACCAACCAUUUAGCCAAUUGAGCCCAUCCAUUUCUGGUGGGGGCAACGGCUAUCCGAUGAUGCAUGGUUACAGUAUGCCAGGAAAUCAAUUUGUGCAUCUCACUGGGUCAAACUUAAUUAAUUCAUCCCCAACAAAUCGUCCCACCAUUCAGGCUCCCUUUUUAGUAGCAGCACCGGUUCCCUCCCAUCCACACUUAGUUGUACCAGCCCACUCACCUCAGUUUACACAAGCUAGUGGUUCAGACUAA
rnacentral:rRNA from 1 species